rnacentral:rRNA from 1 species
GAUGAACGCUAGCGGCAGGCCUAAUACAUGCAAGUCGAACGGGCGGUCGCAAUACCGCUAGUGGCGCACGGGUGCGUAACGCGUAACCAACCUGCCCAGAUCUGGGGAUAGCCCGCCGAAAGGCGGAUUAAUACCGCAUAAACCCACAGUGUGGCAUCACAUAAUGGGUAAAGAUUUAUCGGAUCUGGAUGGGGUUGCGUAGCAUUAGCUAGUUGGCGGGGUAAUGGCCCACCAAGGCGACGAUGCUUAGGGGACCUGAGAGGGUGAUCCCCCACACUGGCACUGAGAUACGGGCCAGACUCCUACGGGAGGCAGCAGUAGGGAAUAUUGGGCAAUGGGCGAGAGCCUGACCCAGCCAUGCCGCGUGCCGGAUGAAGGCCUUCUGGGUUGUAAACGGCUUUUCUCAGGGAAGAAAACGGGGAUGCGUCCUCAACUGACGGUACCUGAGGAAUAAGCACCGGCUAACUCCGUG